CAGACCAACGAUUCAUCUAGAAGUGCAUCCCCUACUACUGAAGAGACCUUGAAUCAUCUCUGGCAGCAGUGUGAUUCUUCUCUUCAAUUUCUACAGCCCCUGUGUCAGCAAAAGUUGUUCCGGGAAUGCAUUGUUAACAACCAGGAGCUUGGGAAGUGGUGGACUGCAGAGCAACUAGCUUCCUGUGUUGGACUCGGCCUUGAUGAAAAAAGGAGUAGCUCUACUUCUCAUCUUUGUAGUUGUCAAAAUCCUGGUCUUUGAGGAUUCUGUUUGCUGGACUUGCAUCUAAAAAAGAAAUCGUGGGCCUUGGAAACUGGUUGAUGACUCAAUUAGUGUCAAGUAAAGAUACUUUAUAUGAGGAAUGGAAAUUGCAGCUUGUUGCCACUAUGUAGUAAAUACUUUAACUACAAUAGAUGGAAUCUAGACUACUUCGAUUUCUGUAUAUUUGAGUUUGUUUUCUUUACCUGUCCGUUUGAUGA